rnacentral:rRNA from 1 species
CCUACGGGAGGCAGCAGUGAGGAAUAUUGGUCAAUGGCCGAGAGGCUGAACCAGCCAAGUCGCGUGAGGGAAGAAUGUCCUAUGGAUUGUAAACCUCUUUUGUCAGGGCGCAAAGUCACCCACGUGUGGGUGUUGGAGAGUACCUGAAGAACAAGCAUCGGCUAACUCCGUGCCAGCAGCCGCGGUAAUACGGAGGAUGCGAGCGUUAUCCGGAUUUAUUGGGUUUAAAGGGUGCGUAGGCGGGUUAUCAAGUCAGCGGUAAAAGCGUGGAGCUCAACUCCAUCCAGCCGUUGAAACUGAUGAUCUUGAGUGGGCGAGAAGUAUGCGGAAUGCGUGGUGUAGCGGUGAAAUGCAUAGAUAUCACGCAGAACUCCGAUUGCGAAGGCAGCGUACCGGCGCCCAACUGACGCUGAAGCACGAAGGCGUGGGUAUCGAACAGGAUUAGAUACCCGUGUAGUC